UAUCUCUGUAGAGUCUGCAUAUCAAUAAGCGGAGGAAAAGAAACUAACAAGGAUUCCCUUAGUAACGGCGAGUGAAGCGGGAAGAGCUCAGAUUUGAAAUCUUCAAGGUUCUACCUUGACGAAUUGUAGUUUAAAGAAGUGUUUUCUGUUAGAUGAGUAGCAAAAGUUCCUUGGAAUGGGACAUCAUAGAGGGUGAGAAUCCCGUAUUUGGUUAUUCAUUCUAGCUUUGUGAUACACUUUCAAAGAGUCGGAUUGUUUGGGAAUGCAGUCCAAAAUGGGUGGUAAAUUUCAUCUAAAGCUAAAUAUUGGCGAGAGACCGAUAGCGAACAAGUACCGUGAGGGAAAGAUGAAAAGAACUUUGAAAAGAGAGUUAAACAGUACGUGAAAGUUGUCAAAAGGGAAGCGUUUGACACCAGUGUUGUUUUUCCGAAAAUCAAUUACGAAUGGCUUGAUUUUGUGUUGUAUUGACCUUAUCAGCUUUCUUCACUUUUUUCGAGUCUUUCUUAAUGCACUUUUCGGUUAACAAGUCAACAUCAAUUUCUUUUGUUGUAAAAGAGUAUUCGGAAGGUGGCUUUCUUUUCGGAGAAAGUGUUUAUAGCCCUAUACUUCUACAAUCGGAGAGAUUGAGGUCUGCAGCGUAGAUCCUUCGGGGUUAGAUACACUUGUGCUAAGUUGUAGCUUUUCAUAGACAACUUGUUGACUAUGUUUAGUCAUGCGGCUUACUCGCUUGUGCUAUUUUACCUACGCUUAGGAUGUUGACUGAUAUGUAGUCGUA
rnacentral:rRNA from 1 species